GGGAGGAGCUGGAGUAGAUGUGACAAUAGCUCGACUAAUCUUGCUGCUGAUAACAAGGACACCAUGACACCAGCUUUGGUAGUACAGAGCCUGCACUAUUUGGAUGAAAGCUUUCAGCCGGGAACAAGCUCAAGCUCAACGUCAUCUGACUCUGAAACAAGCCAGGACAGCCAAAAGGAGACUUGCAGUACAAACAAAUAUUCUGCAAGAGGUCAAAACAGUGGGUGGUGAAGAAGGUGUACAAGCCUAGAACCCACCUCUUCAUUCAGGGAGAGGCUUGUCCACCUGGCUGUGGCGUGCAGAAAGGACCAGACAGUUGUCUUACAAGGAGCCAGAGUCACAGCGCCCUAAACCUAACAUUUCUGCCAACAUCACCACAGCACCAAAGCCUGCUAAACCAGCUGCCAUUAUCCAACACAAGAAGAGGUGCACCAGCUGAAGAGCAUUCUGGAACCUGCCUGGAAUAUUCAGUCUGAGUUGUUGUAGAAUAAUAUAGAAUACCUAGUAUGCUCACAACUGCAUUGUGGUAUAGAUAUGGCUAGUUCCAAUGGUGUUUUAUAUAAUAUGUUUUACAAGUGACCAAAUGAUUCCAGCUGCAUCAGAAACCAAUACAGUGUCGACUUCAACCUCUGGAUCAUUUCAUUGUGAUAUUCAUGCCUUUGCAUGUUGAUAAACUAGCUACAAUCCUACUGCCAAAACAAUACAGGGAGUUGGGUGUAUCAUUUAAACUUGAAUUUGUUGGCAAGUAGACAUGUUUCAAUAAAAACAGUAGAUUAGUCUGUCACUAUAGCAACUAAGUAGACAUGGCUUGUGUUCAAAACAACUUUUAUUUGCUCUGGAGACCAAGGUGAGUUUACACAGCAGUAUGCAGGAACAGUCAUGGCAAUGUAUGACAUAUAUACAUACUACUACCGCCGAUGAUAAAUACUACAGUUUUUUUUUUAAGGAAAUACUUGCAUGUGGUGUGUUUGGGUGGUGCAGUGACGUGUUCGCAGUCACGUUAAUAUAAGUGGAGGUUGUUGUUAUGGGACCCUUCAUAUCUAUUUUUUUUGUUUGUAUCCAAGUAGUUUUGUCUGUGAGAGAAAGAUACAAAAUGCUAUUAGACAUUCAUGGACAAUCGUGAUGAUGUAUAAUAUGAGACAUUAACAGUCACAUGUUAGCUAGCUACAACACAUGGGUAUAGUUACUCCAAGACUAAUAUGAGUCAUAAAGCCAAAGUCCUUCCUUUACUCUUUAUCAUCAUCUAAACAUUUCAACAGUUUUGCUCCUGAUGACAUGGACUGAGGUUAGCUAGGCUAGUUAGCUAAAAUGUUAAGACUACAGUACAUUUUAGGUAUUGCAAACACAGCUAGGUUAACAAAAUUGUACUGUACUAAACAGCACCGCCUUGUGUUAAAAGAUAGCUUAUUUUACUCGUUUGUCAUUUGC